AGCGAACGCUGGCGGCAGGCUUAACACAUGCAAGUCGAGCGGGCAUCCUUGUGGUGUCAGCGGCAGACGGGUGAGUAACGCGUGGGAACGUGCCCUUCGGUUCGGAAUAACUCGGGGAAACUUGAGCUAAUACCGGAUACGUGCGAGAGCAGAAAGGUUUAUCUGCCGAAGGAUCGGCCCGCGUCUGAUUAGCUAGUUGGUGAGGUUAUGGCUCACCAAGGCGACGAUCAGUAGCUGGUCUGAGAGGAUGAUCAGCCACACUGGGACUGAGACACGGCCCAGACUCCUACGGGAGGCAGCAGUGGGGAAUAUUGGACAAUGGGGGCAACCCUGAUCCAGCCAUGCCGCGUGAGUGAUGACGGCCUUAGGGUUGUAAAGCUCUUUUCUGCGGGACGAUAAUGACGGUACCGGAGGAAUAAGCCCCGGCUAACUUCGUG
rnacentral:rRNA from 1 species